UUUUUUUUCUUUCUUUCUUUCUUUUUUUCGGAGCUGAGGACCGAACCCAGGGACUUGUGCUUUCUAGGCAAGCGCUCUACCACUGAGCUAAAUCCCCAACCCCAUGAAUUUCUUAAAAUAAAGAAUCUGCCAACGUUAAAUAAAGAUGAAAAAACUAAACUAGGUCUGCAAUCCACGGUUGUGAGAGUAACCAACCGCCCUGGGAUUGGAUUUAAGGCCUACUCCAAAAGUGGAGCCAUACAGGACACUGCUAACGCGUCUAGAACCUGAGACUACAUAUGUCAUAGGUCUAGGGGGAACCGACUACUAUUAUUCUGCUAAAGGGACAUAGCAAUAAAAUGACUCCUAAUGGCACCGAUAUCCCCGUACAUCAGUGCAUCCCUAAUAUUCAUCGGAGACACUCCUUUACAGUGAACUAACGUAGAGACCAACAACUGGUCAGUGUGUAGAGAGUGAGAGACUGUGGGGCACUCAGCCCUAAAUGGGCCAUCAAAACCCUCUCCUCAAGGCUCAGGGAUUACUUGGAAGAGGAGGUAGAGGGAUUGUAAGAGUCAGAGCUGAAGGGUGACUCCAAGGAAGCAGUCUUUCAGCUAAGGCAGGACUGAUACAAAUUUAAACUCACAGCAACUGUGGCAGCAAGCAUAGGGCCUGCACAGGUUCAAGCCAGACAAACCCCCAGCGCUCAGAAAGGGGAAACAGACACAAAUACCCACCCUGUGUCACUGAAUAUAUUAACCACACUUCCGGAGAGGCCCAAACAAAAACAGACUCCAUGUGGGGUUUUUGUUUUAUUAUUUGUGUUUAUUUGGAUUUUGGAAGUUUUGGGGGAGAUGGGGAAAGAGAGGGAGAAAGAACAUGAAGUCGGGUGGGACUGAGGUAGGGAGGAUCUGGGGGAGAUGGUAGAGGGAAAAACAUCAUCAAAUUGUAUUGCAUGAAAAAUUUUUUAAAAAUAUUGACAUUAUAGGCCACAGAAGUCAACAAAGGAGUUAAGAUCCCAGCUCCUAGACUGGGGUAUAGAUGUGGAGAGCAUUUGCAUAGUCUUAGGUUUUUAUAAAAUUAAUUUAUUUAUUAUAUAAGUACACUGUAGCUGUCUUCAGACACACUAGAAGAGAGCAUCAGAUCCCAUUACAGAUGGUUGUGAGCCACCAUGUGGUUGCUGGGAUUUUGAACUCAGGACCUCUGGAAGAGCAGUCGGUGUUCUUAACUGCUGAGCCAUCUCUCCAGCCCUCUAAAGCCUUCGGUUUGAUAGCACCAACAGAAAAAUGAAAAUAAAUAAACCCCAGCUCCACCAUAGUAACUAUGUGAUCUUGAACACAUUAUUUAGAUUUUUUUCUGACCUUCUAUUAUGCCAUCAGUAAAAGUAUGAAAACAGCUACUUCUGCAGGGUACAGUAGUACACACCUUUAAUCCCAGCACUUGGGAGGUAAAGACAUCUCUUGAGUUUGAGGCCAUCCUGGUCUACAUAACAAGUUACAGGCCGGCUGAGCUACAUAGUAAGAACCUGUCUUUAAAAAGCCACUUUGUUUGUUAUUGAAAUUAAAUAAAUCAAAGUAUGUAAAAGUAGUUGUCACACAGUAAAUGUUCAAUAAAUUGAAAGGUUUGGUUACUACCAAGAGGUCAUGCCAGAGGACAUUCUAUAAUGAAAAUUGAGUAAUCAUGAAAUAUUUAAAAGAGCCCGUGUUCUAGGCAUAUAACACCUUGAGAAAAUAAAACAACCCUCAAUACACCUGCUUUGAUUCUAGACCUCAAACUACUACAGAAAAUUAAUCGAGUGCUAAAUUUGCAAUUUACAAAACUCCGAUUCUCUCCUAGUCAUUGAACUCAUCUGGAUUCCCUGGGUCUUUAAGAGGAGAGGGGUGCCAAGGUGUUUGACACAUACCCCACCACUACUAUAACCACCACGGAAGGGACUCUGGCCAGCUUGAGAGGGUGAGCAUUGAUGGCUCUGGCAGGCCUUGCCCUUCUCCCCAUUCCCUCUGCCUUGCUAAAAGCCAUCAGCUUACAUUCCCAUAGCUACCCACCAAGGUGUAUUCCCUUAUUUGGUCUCUUCCUCCUGAGGCUGACCACCAAGGUCCGAGGUCCAGCUGUCAAAGCAUUGAAGUCCACCAAGCAACCCCUCCCCACCAUGUAAUUAACAAGUCCAAUUAAAAUUAAACACCUCAUCCUUUGAAACUUCAUAAACUUCUAUUUUCUUAUGUGCCACUCCUGUCUUCUCACUAUCUAGAGGUAGUAGUCCUUUGUUCCACAGGACAAAUACCCUCCUCCCUCUCCUUUGUCUUCUAGCUCUUGUCUAUGUCUUUUAUUUCCUGCCCUCUUUCCCUCUGGGGCAAAUAAAUCUCCCCAUGAUUCCCCGAAGAAUGACACCCGUAUGUACACGCAAAGAGUGUUUUAUUCUGCAGAAGUCCAGCAUGCUGGGGUCUCCCAUUGCCAAGAUAGACCACCAAGUGAGCUCACUUUUAAAGACUCCUUUUAAAGACAUUGGAAGUUGGGGUAGAUGAGCUUUAUCUUACUCUAUCUUUAGGCAUUCCAGGACCAUUAUCUGGGCAUGAAGGCUGGAGCCUGCAGUUUUUUCUAUUAGUAAUUGACUUGCCUGACUUGCCUAGUUCUUAAGCCUAAUCUCUUUACCUGCCAAUUUGAAAUCUGUGGUGAAAUCAGCCUAGCCUUCUCACUUUGUGCUUAGAACUUGGUCUUGGGGGGGGGGGUUUCCUGAUAUUUUUCCUAACAACCACCACCAAGUGGUUCCCUAACCUUUCUAAAUGGUCUGUUGGCUUUGCUGCAAGGUAAAAUAUAUGACUGCUAUCGGGGCCAAGUAUAAAUUGCUAGUCAUUUCUUGACACUGCAGUUAAGAAAAAUAUAUAUACAUUAUCACAAUUAAAUUUUGCUUUAACAUUAUCAUCCGAUUACUGCUGGAGUGCCUUUGCAGCCUGCAAACCAGUUUGGCAGGCUUGGGGAAGAAGCCCUUCCCAGUGUGAAGCUGUGUGUGGCUGCCCUAGGGCAACAGACACAAGCACUGUCUCGGCCUCCUCCGUCCUCCCGUGUGUGCCACACAGAGAGUAGUCCCCCAGCUUUUACCGGAGACCCAGCGUCUUCUCAAUCGCGCCCUCCCGGGAUACCAGAUCUUUGUGAAGGUCUGGACUCCCUUCUAUCAAAGUGUAGGUAGUCAACCGCAGCGCUGCUAGCCAGGGCGGCCAGCCGGCAAUGCUAGCUUAGAGGUUUGGUCGCCGCGUCCGCAUACAUGCGGAACCAAAGAUGCAGACUCGGUUUCUAGCAGGUCGCUAAGAGACGAGCAAUCCGGUCUACUUCACGCUCUUUGGAAGCACGCUUGCCCCCUGGGUAUGCUUCCGCGGUCACCAGAGUCUCUUCCUUGCUGGCUCGGGCUGCGGAGAGCGAGAAGAUGAAGACGAAGGCCACCGCGCCGGUGCCCCAACCUGGGCCUAUCCGGAAGCUCGUUAGGAAGAAAGCCAAGAAGAAGUUCAAGAAGAGCAAAGCGCUGGGAGGAAGUGGGACUCCGGGAAGCCGUCCCGCAACUGUGGCAAGCCGACCGCCGAAGGCCCCAGAGAACUUUUCUCAAAAUUGGAAGGCGCUGCAAGAGCUGCUGAAACGAAAGUCAGAGGCCCCAGAAAAACCUCGUAUCUCUCAACUGGAUGACAAAAUACAUCACCAAAUAAUCCAGAAGAACAGAAAAAAAACCUCAGAUAAAUCAAAGGGAGACAAGAGGACAGAAGACGACAAGCCCACUAGGGAUUCUGUUACAUCUGCACCUAAGAAGGUCAGGAAGACACCAGUACCUCCCACAAAUGCCUCUGGAACAGAGCAGAAGAAAGGAGCCGAGAAGAGGACACGCAGUGACCUCUCUUCUCACCAAGGGGACAUCAAGCAUAAGGGGAAAGCUAAGGAGGCAGCUGUCAUCCUGAGCCAGCCCACGCCCACUGAGGAAGACAUCUGGUUUGAUGAUGUGGAUCCAGAUGAUAUUGAGGCUGCUGUAGGCCCAGAGGCAGCCAUGCUGGUACGGAAGAGACUGGGGCAGAGGACAAGUACCAUCUCCCUGGUGAAGGAACAGGCCUUUGGCGGGAGAAGAGUUUGAAGUUGUGAAGAAGGAAGUGGCAGCAAUGUUGAAGGGCAGAAUCCUGGUGGGGCACGCGCUCCGCAAUGAUUUAAAGGUUCUGUUCCUUGAACAUCCGAAAAAGAAAAUCAGGGACACCCAAAAA